GCUAGAGCAUGAUGGGACAAGGAAAUCCCUGCCGGCCAAACCCUCCCCUAACCCGGACGAUGCAGGGCCAAUUGUGCGCCGCUCCAUGGGUCUCCCGGUCACGGCCGGCUGUAACACAGCCUGGGAUCGAACGCGUGGCUGGAGUGGCACCUCAGCACUGCAGACAAUAUUUUUUAUUACAUUUUAUUUUUUACUUUGUUUGUAAACUGAUAUGACAAGUAUUAAUACCAAAAUAACAUGCAAAACAGGCAGCAAAAGGUUUUGGGGUUGUACUCAUCCUUCUUCCUCCUCCAAACACGGCGAGUGGAGUUUAGACCAAAAAGCUCUAUUUUUGUCUCAUCAGACCACAUGACCUUCUUCCAUUCCUCCUCUGGAUCAUCCAGAUGGUCAUUGGCUAACAUUAGACGGGCCUGGACAUGCGCUGGCUUGAGCAGGGGGAGCUUGUAUGCGCUGCAGGAUUUUAAUCCAUGACGGCGUAGUGUGUUACUAAUGGUUUUCUUUGAGACUGUGGUCCCAGCUCUCUUCAGGUCAUUGACCAGGUCCUGCCGUGUAGUUCUGGGCUGAUCCCUCACCUUCCUCAUGAUCAUUGAUGCCCCACGAGUAUCCAAUUGACCACCAGAGACAUUCUUCAAAGGACUCGGUUGGGCAACACGGCCUUCCAUCUAUCACCAACCUACCGCAGCUCAGAGACCUGAGCCCUAGGACCAUGCCCCAGAACUACCUGACAUGAUGACUCCUUGCUAUCCCCAGUCCACCUGGCCGUGCUGCUGCUCCAGUUUCAAUUGUUCAGCCUUAUUAUUAUUCGACCAUGCUGGUCAUUAAUGAACAUUUGAACAUCUUGGCCAUGUUCUGUUAUAAUCUCCACCCGGCACAGCCAGAAGAGGACUGGCCACCCCACAUAGCCUGGUUCCUCUCUAGGUUUCUUCCUAGGUUUUGGCCUUUCUAGGGAGUUUUUCCUAGCCACCGUGCUUCUCCACCUGCAUUGCUUGCUGUUUGGGGUUUUAGGCUGGGUUUCUGUACAGCACUUUGAGAUAUCAGCUGAUGUACGGAGGCCAAAAUAAAUUUGAUUUGAU
ensembl:lncRNA